rnacentral:rRNA from 1 species
ACUGAAUAGAUACCCGGGUAGUCCUAGCUGUAAACGGUGCACGUUUGCUGUAAGAGGAAUCGACCCCUUUUGUGGCGAAAGCUAAACGCGAUAAACGUGCCGCCUGGGGAGUACGGUCGCAAGAUUAAAACUCAAAGAAAUUGACGGGGGCCUGCACAAGCGGUGGAGUAUGUGGCUUAAAUUCGAUGCAACGCGAAGAACCUUACCUGGCCUUGACAUGCACGUAGUAGGAGCCUGAAAGGGUGACGACCUCGCAAGAGGAGCGUGCACAGGUGCUGCAUGGCUGUCGUCAGCUCGUGUCGUGAGAUGUUGGGUUAAGUCCCGCAACGAGCGCAACCCUUGUGUCCUGUUGCCACCCGGUCGAGAGACUGGAGCACUCUGGACAGACUGCCUCGCUUAAACGAGGAGGAAGGUGGGGAUGACGUCAAGUCAGGAUGGCCCUUACGGCCAGGGCUGCACACGUACUACAAUGCCCGGCACAAAGGGACGCAAGACCGAUAGGUGGAGCCAAUCCCAAAAACCGGGCUCAGUU